AGUGAACGCUGGCGGUAGGCCUAACACAUACAAGUCGAACGGCAGCACAGUAAGAGCUUGCUCUUACGGGUGGCGAGUGGCGGACGGGUGAGGAAUACAUCGGAAUCUACUUUUUCGUGGGGGAUAACGUAGGGAAACUUACGCUAAUACCGCAUACGACCUACGGGUGAAAGCAGGGGAUCUUCGGACCUUGCGCGAUUGAAUGAGCCGAUGUCGGAUUAGCUAGUUGGCGGGGUAAAGGCCCACCAAGGCGACGAUCCGUAGCUGGUCUGAGAGGAUGAUCAGCCACACUGGAACUGAGACACGGUCCAGACUCCUACGGGAGGCAGCAGUGGGGAAUAUUGGACAAUGGGCGCAAGCCUGAUCCAGCCAUACCGCGUGAGUGAAGAAGGCCUUCGGGUUGUAAAGCCCUUUUGUUGGGAAAGAAAAGCAGCAGGUUAAUCCCCCGCUGUUCUGACGGUACCCAAAGAAUAAGCACCGGCUAACUUCGUG
rnacentral:rRNA from 1 species